AAAAAUUGUCUUACUAAAUUAAUAAGGGGUUUAUUUAAGAGAAUUAUCUUUUAUUUUAGUAUUAUUAUUGAAAAAGUUGAUUUUGUAAUAGGUUACUAGUACUGUAAAGUAAUGUUGAAAUAUUUUGAAAAAAUUAUUUUAUAAAAAGCAUACAUUUUGUAGUACCUUUUGUAUCAGGGUUGAUUUAUUUUAUCUAAUGUAU
rnacentral:rRNA from 1 species